rnacentral:rRNA from 1 species
GGGUUGUGAGGUUAAGCGACUAAGCGUACACGGUGGAUGCCUAGGCAAUCAGAGGCGAUGAAGGACGUGCUAAUCUGCGAAAAGCGUCGGUAAGGUGAUAUGAACCGUUAUAACCGACGAUGUCCGAAUGGGGAAACCCAGUGCAAUUCGUUGCACUAUCGUUUGAUGAAUCCAUAGUCAAACGAGGCGAACCGGGGGAACUGAAACAUCUCAGUACCCCGAGGAAAAGAAAUCAACCGAGAUUCCCCUAGUAGCGGCGAGCGAACGGGGAGCAGCCCAGAGUCUUAAUCAGCAUCAGCAUCAGGAGAACGGUCUGGAAAGGCCGGCAAUAAAGGGUGAUAGCCCCGUAUCCGAAGGUGUUGGUGUUGUGAACUCGAUGAGUAGGACGGGACACGUGUUAUCCUGUCUGAAUAUGGGGGGACCAUCCUCCAAG